CUCAAUCUAAAUGCUUUCCAGGCCAUGGUGCUCUGAAGGGACCUUUCUCAGAAAAUGCCUUUUUACAGUGACAGCAACCACUUUAAAAUACAGUGAGAGUGGCUGAAGUGAAGUAACACUUGAUUCCAAAGUGAUGAAAUGCUUUUGAUUCCCAAUGGAAUUUGCAUUAUAUAAUCUAUUAAAGAACAACAACACCAUAAAUCCCCCAUCUAUAUUCCUGACUCGCUAGCCCCACUCAUUAGGGAAGAGUAUUUCUAAAGCUAACUAUUUUUUUUUUUCAUUACUUGGGUUUCUUCUGUUGUCACAAGGAAUCUGCAGACUUAAACUGAUUUUUAUUUUAACCUAAAAUAAGUUCCCAUUGCCAAAUGGACAGACAUAAUCAUGACUCAGUACCCACCCUCAAGGAAGAUUGUGCCAUGUGCCAAAGUGAAAGGCUGAAGGCCACAGGAAGACAGGAAGGCCAAGGAGAAUGUGCAAAAGAGAAAGGCAUGCCACUGCUCUGCCUCUGGCCCUGCUGCCCCGGGGUCCACACCUUCCUCUCUGUCCUUGCCACGGUGCAGACUGUGAUUAGAAGGUCUAGGGGACAUAUGUACUGCUAUUUGUAAUACCUUAAACAAUAAAAUUUUAAAAA